UGAACGCUGGCGGCGUGCUUAACACAUGCAAGUCGAACGGUAACAGAAAGAGCUUGCUCUUUGCUGACGAGUGGCGCACGGGUGAGUAAUAUAUAGUUAAUGUGCCUCGAAGACUGGGAUAGCCACUGGAAACGGUGAUUAAUACUAGAUAGUCCUUCUAAACAUAAGUUUAGUCGGUAAACGUUUUUUCGCUUCGAGAUCAGACUAUAUCCCAUCAGCUUGUUGGUAGUGUAAGAGACUACCAAGGCUAUGACGGGUAGCGGGUUUGAGAGGAUGAUCCGCCACACUGGUACUGAGACACGGACCAGACUCCUACGGGAGGCAGCAGUGAGGAAUAUUGCACAAUGGGGGAAACCCUGAUGCAGCAACGCCGCGUGGAGGAUGACGCAUUUCGGUGUGUAAACUCCUUUUAUGAGUCAAGAAAAUGACGGUAGCUCAUGAAUAAGCACCGGCUAACUCC
rnacentral:rRNA from 1 species